GGAUUGUGGCUCUGCGGUAGAGCGCUUGCCUAGCACGUGCAGGGCUCUGGGUUCGAUCCUCAGUACCA
rnacentral:tRNA from 1 species